rnacentral:rRNA from 1 species
GACGAACGCUGGCGGCGUGCCUAAUACAUGCAAGUAGAACGCUGAAGAGAGGAGCUUGCUCUUCUUGGAUGAGUUGCGAACGGGUGAGUAACGCGUAGGUAACCUGCCUUGUAGCGGGGGAUAACUAUUGGAAACGAUAGCUAAUACCGCAUAACAAUGGAUGACACAUGUCAUUUAUUUGAAAGGGGCAAUUGUUCCACUACAAGAUGGACCUGCGUUGUAUUAGCUAGUAGGUGAGGUAAUGGCUCACCUAGGCGACGAUACAUAGCCGACCUGAGAGGGUGAUCGGCCACACUGGGACUGAGACACGGCCCAGACUCCUACGGGAGGCAGCAGUAGGGAAUCUUCGGCAAUGGGGGCAACCCUGACCGAGCAACGCCGCGUGAGUGAAGAAGGUUUUCGGAUCGUAAAGCUCUGUUGUAAGUCAAGAACGGGUGUGAGAGUGGAAAGUUCACACUGUGACGGUAGCUUACCAGAAAGGGACGGCUAACUACGUGCCAGCAGCCGCGGUAAUACGUAGGUCCCGAGCGUUGUCCGGAUUUAUUGGGCGUAAAGCGAGCGCAGGCGGUUUGAUAAGUCUGAAGUUAAAGGCUGUGGCUCAACCAUAGUUCGCUUUGGAAACUGUCAAACUUGAGUGCAGAAGGGGAGAGUGGAAUUCCAUGUGUAGCGGUGAAAUGCGUAGAUAUAUGGAGGAACACCGGUGGCGAAAGCGGCUCUCUGGUCUGUAACUGACGCUGAGGCUCGAAAGCGUGGGGAGCGAACAGGAUUAGAUACCCUGGUAGUCCACGCCGUAAACGAUGAGUGCUAGGUGUUGGAUCCUNUCCGGGAUUCAGUGCCGCAGCUAACGCAUUAAGCACUCCGCCUGGGGAGUACGACCGCAAGGUUGAAACUCAAAGGAAUUGACGGGGGCCCGCACAAGCGGUGGAGCAUGUGGUUUAAUUCGAAGCAACGCGAAGAACCUUACCAGGUCUUGACAUCCCGAUGCUAUUUCUAGAGAUAGAAAGUUACUUCGGUACAUCGGUGACAGGUGGUGCAUGGUUGUCGUCAGCUCGUGUCGUGAGAUGUUGGGUUAAGUCCCGCAACGAGCGCAACCCCUAUUGUUAGUUGCCAUCAUUCAGUUGGGCACUCUAGCGAGACUGCCGGUAAUAAACCGGAGGAAGGUGGGGAUGACGUCAAAUCAUCAUGCCCCUUAUGACCUGGGCUACACACGUGCUACAAUGGUUGGUACAACGAGUUGCGAGUCGGUGACGGCGAGCUAAUCUCUUAAAGCCAAUCUCAGUUCGGAUUGUAGGCUGCAACUCGCCUACAUGAAGUCGGAAUCGCUAGUAAUCGCGGAUCAGCACGCCGCGGUGAAUAAGGUCCCGGGCCU